rnacentral:rRNA from 1 species
UACGUAGGGUGCAAGCGUUGUCCGGAAUUAUUGGGCGUAAAGAGCUUGUAGGCGGUUUGUCGCGUCUGCCGUGAAAUUUCGAGGCUCAACCUCGAACUUGCGGUGGGUACGGGCAGACUAGAGUGUGGUAGGGGAGACUGGAAUUCCUGGUGUAGCGGUGAAAUGCGCAGAUAUCGGGGAGGAACACCAGUGGCGAAGGCGGAACUCUGGGCCGGAACUGACGCUGAGGAGCGAAAGCGUGGGGGAGCGAACAGG